CUCUGGUUGAUUACCGUCAAUAAAGACCAGUUACUGCCUCUAUCCUUCUUCACCAACAACAGAGCUUUACGAUCCGAAAACCUUCUUCACUCACGCGGCGUUGCUCCAUCAGACUUGCGUCCAUUGUGGAAGAUUCCCUACUGCUGCCUCCCGUAGGAGUAGGGGAUCUUCACUUGGUGCUUUUCUGAUGGACCAACGCCCCUGAGGUGAAAAGGUUUUCGGAUCUUAAAGCUUUUUGCUUGGUAUAAUGUUAGGAGGAUCUAACCGUUUUUUUUUGAUUGUUUAAACCAAAAUGUGCGGUAUUUGCGGGCCGCCUUAUAAAUCU
rnacentral:rRNA from 1 species